UAAGGAGAGGGAAAAAUAGUAUGCACCUUGCCUGUAUGUAUCAAAAGUAAUGUGAAAGAUAUUUAAUGAACCAGUAUCAUAAGAAAACGAAAAAACGAUAUGACGCAACAACUACAUUACUUCAAAAUAUAUCCAGCGAUCAGUUCUACAAAAAAGCCUGUACAAAAAAGAAUGCAAGGAAAGGUGAAAUCAAAACCACGAUAUUAAUCCAAUUAUCACAGUGCCCCAAGAUCCAUUGCGAAGGAGACUAACGCCUCAGCUGGGUCCGUUGCGCAUUUUGGAUGUAACGGAAGGGAGGUAUCUUAAUUCAUACUUUACUCUUUGAAAAUGCCAACAGUGCUACGGAUGCAACUUCGCUCAACUGACAUUCAAUGAUCAUUGUUUCUCAUUGAAAAUCUCUUUUGCCAACUUUUGUUGACAUGCCGUGUUAACAUUUAGCGCUCACGUAGCGAAAACAAUCUUCUCACGCCCAUGCUGUCGUUAAUUCCAACGUCCUUACUGUACAAUUUUCAAUCAAGCUCAUUUCCAUGAAGUUCAAACUAUUCUCCUGGGCGAGAAAAACAUAAACAUGGCAGGUAAAGACAGUGCCGUUUUGCGCUUUUCUCCAAAAGAGUUGCAAACUUCGGACGGAGUUUACUAAAAUGACCACUGUGAAUUAUAAGUAAAAAUUGUAAAAAGCACUGUCGCCAGACAGCCAGAAGCAAAAUUGAUGCCAGCAUCAGGCACGUUCAGACUGGCACGUGCUUUUUGAACAUAUUAUUUCAAUUUCAUGAGUUUAGUUUCUUCAUAUCAUGGCCAGUGGAACUUCAAAUUUUUUGAGGGCCUCUUAUAAGUAGGCAAAAAAGAUGCAUAUCCAAAUACGUCAUAGCGAAUCGCGGCCCUAAAAGUAGCAUCUACUGAAACUGAUGGGCUGGUAACUUCUUAACUCCAGCUAAGUCCGUGCGUUGAUUUAGCGGAGAUUCGGUGAACUGUAGCAAACUGUAUGCUCAAAAUUGACUGGAAAUGACAUUUUUUGUGCGAAUGACUGGAAACAUUGUAGAAGAUGGUACCUGAUGAUGGUUAUUCAGCUCCAUCAAAGCCGAUUCACAUUGUUGUUUUUCGAGUCUCGAGACCAUUGGUAAACAAAAAAAUUUUUAUCAGUUUAGUAGCGUGGUCUCCCAAAAUAUUCCUUGUUUAAGAAAGAAAGAUAUUCAAAACAACAUGGACUAAACGUAGCUCACACCCAGGAUGCAUUCUUUCACAUUGGCGGAUCGGGUAUCAUCCCUGCUUAAACGCUAUAGCGCUAAACCCAGAAAGCCAUAGACACCUGGAAACUGAUGCUGAGGCUUUAGAGAGUGCAAAAGUUGUUUUCCUCGUAUUUCCGAGCUCACACCAUCUUUGCGGUAAUCUAAGCGCUUUCUUGCCCUCAGCAUGAAAUCGAGGAUGCAUUCAUAUUAAUUGAUCCUGUGCAUACCUGUUUCGAAACGCAACAGUGAGAGGUCAAUAAGAAACUAGAUACGUGUUGCAUGAAGUUAUUUCAACACAGCACUUGCAGAAGAUCACCAUCAAUUCUCCAAUGCUUGUAGUUUUAUCACGAUGAAAGGCAUUGCAAUUUCAUCCUAUCUAAUGUUCGUAUUAAUUUGUUUGCUGAUAGUGACAGAAAGCUUGGGGUUUAUGAAGGGACCUUGCAGGAAGAAAAGAUGGAGCAAAUGUCAUCCGAUGAAAUUCAGUAUUGUCAAAAGGGCUGACGUGCCGAUGCCAGCAGCACUAGGAAACGAAAUAACGGAACGUGAUUGGAGGGAGCUUGUGAAGACGAGAACUGGCAGCGUAACAAGAAGAGCAUUGUUGAAAGUAUUGAAAGAUUUAAAGGCUGAUAUCGUGGCCGAAAUCGACAUAGACAAAAACGAGUGAAGCUGACAAAAGAUUCUGAUGAUGUUUAGAAGCUGGCUGGCAGAGAAAGAACUUCGUAAUAUUGAAAGAACAUCGAUGAUAAAACACAACUCUAUUCUAGAAGACUUUGAUUAUUAAGGUUUUUAAUUGAUUUAAGGGCUUUCUGCAAGAGUGGGGUCCUCCACAGAGAGCGAGAAAAAUCUUUUGAUUGCAAAAUUCUGUUACUUAGAAAAUAUAGAAGUGAGAGUAUUGACGGUUCACAAUUUUGAUCAUGAUAAUAAAUUUGACAAGGGAUGGGACAAACAUUUUACUUUGUUACUCAUUACUAAUACUCGCCUUGCCCAAAUACCAGUUACAAGAGGAUCUCAUGCUUGCAGAGCUAUCUGAAAAAUAAAUAAUUUGGUAACUCGCAUAAUAUAUCUCACUUUAAAAAAAGUAGCUGUUCUUUACCUUGAAUGAUAUUUAAAAGUCAGUAGAAUUAUAAAGGGAAUACAAAAAAGCACCGACGAGCAAUAGUCAGAGGAAAACAGGAGGCUCGUGGAAUGAUCUAGUAUUGACUUUCAGAUCACCUACAGCUAAUAGCAAGGCAGGAAGAUUAUCUUUGGUGCUAUUACAUUGUUUCUUAUGAGUCAGACUUUUUCUUGUGUAUUUUGAAGCAUUACUUAUGUACGACGAUUGUAUUUUAUACAAGAUAUACCACA